rnacentral:rRNA from 1 species
GACGAACGCUUGCGGCGUGCUUAACACAUGCAAGUCGAACGGAAAGGCCCUGCUUUUGUGGGGUGCUCGAGUGGCGAACGGGUGAGUAACACGUGAGUAACCUGCCCUUGACUUUGGGAUAACUUCAGGAAACUGGGGCUAAUACCGGAUAGGAGCUCCUGCUGCAUGGUGGGGGUUGGAAAGUUUCGGCGGUUGGGGAUGGACUCGCGGCUUAUCAGCUUGUUGGUGGGGUAGUGGCUUACCAAGGCUUUGACGGGUAGCCGGCCUGAGAGGGUGACCGGCCACAUUGGGACUGAGAUACGGCCAAGACUCCUACGGGAGGCAGCAGUGGGGAAUAUUGCACAAUGGGCGGAAGCCUGAUGCAGCAACGCCGCGUGCGGGAUGACGGCCUUCGGGUUGUAAACCGCUUUCGCCUGUGACGAAGCGUGAGUGACGGUAAUGGGUAAAGAAGCACCGGCUAACUACGUGCCAGCAGCCGCGGUGAUACGUAGGGUGCGAGCGUUGUCCGGAUUUAUUGGGCGUAAAGGGCUCGUAGGUGGUUGAUCGCGUCGGAAGUGUAAUCUUGGGGCUUAACCCUGAGCGUGCUUUCGAUACGGGUUGACUUGAGGAAGGUAGGGGAGAAUGGAAUUCCUGGUGGAGCGGUGGAAUGCGCAGAUAUCAGGAGGAACACCAGUGGCGAAGGCGGUUCUCUGGGCCUUUCCUGACGCUGAGGAGCGAAAGCGUGGGGAGCGAACAGGCUUAGAUACCCUGGUAGUCCACGCUGUAAACGGUGGGUACUAGGUGUGGGGUCCAUUCCACGGGUUCCGUGCCGUAGCUAACGCUUUAAGUACCCCGCCUGGGGAGUACGGCCGCAAGGCUAAAACUCAAAGGAAUUGACGGGGCCCCGCACAAGCGGCGGAGCAUGCGGAUUAAUUCGAUGCAACGCGUAGAACCUUACCUGGGUUUGACAUGGAUCGGGAGUGCUCAGAGAUGGGUGUGCCUCUUUUGGGGUCGGUUCACAGGUGGUGCAUGGCUGUCGUCAGCUCGUGUCGUGAGAUGUUGGGUUAAGUCCCGCAACGAGCGCAACCCUUGUUCACUGUUGCCAGCACGUUAUGGUGGGGACUCAGUGGAGACCGCCGGGGUCAACUCGGAGGAAGGUGGGGAUGACGUCAAGUCAUCAUGCCCCUUAUGUCCAGGGCUUCACGCAUGCUACAAUGGCUGGUACAGAGAGUGGCGAGCCUGUGAGGGUGAGCGAAUCUCGGAAAGCCGGUCUCAGUUCGGAUUGGGGUCUGCAACUCGACCUCAUGAAGUCGGAGUCGCUAGUAAUCGCAGAUCAGCAACGCUGCGGUGAAUACGUUCCCGGG